CCUACGGGUGGCUGCAGUGGGGAAUAUUGGACAAUGGGCGAAAGCCUGAUCCAGCCAUGCCGCGUGUGUGAAGAAGGCCUUCGGGUUGUAAAGCACUUUCAGUGGGGAAGAAAGCCUUGGGGCUAAUACCCUCGAGGAAGGACAUCACCCACAGAAGAAGCACCGGCUAACUCCGUGCCAGCAGCCGCGGUAAUACGGAGGGUGCGAGCGUUAAUCGGAAUUACUGGGCGUAAAGCGCGCGUAGGCGGUCUGAUAAGCCGGUUGUGAAAGCCCCGGGCUCAACCUGGGAACGGCAUCCGGAACUGUCAGGCUAGAGUGCACGAGAGGAAGGUAGAAUUCCCGGUGUAGCGGUGAAAUGCGUAGAGAUCGGGAGGAAUACCAGUGGCGAAGGCGGCCUUCUGGACUGACACUGACGCUGAGGUGCGAAAGCGUGGGUAGCAAACAGGAUUAGAUACCCUGGUAGUC
rnacentral:rRNA from 1 species